rnacentral:lncRNA from 1 species
AGAGUUGUACAUUCAUCAAUCUAUGUGUCACCAAUAACUGUUAGGUGAGGUGGCAUGUAAAUUGGUGGGACCGCAGUACCCACUAGAAAUCCUAGUCGUGUGGAAUUUCCGUUUUCCUAUCAGGGGAGUGUGAGGGAUUCGAGAAAAUAGUGGGAGUUACAUUUGUUCUAAAAGACCUUAGAACAGAUUAGGAUCAAGUACAAAAGUCUAACUAGAAUUUUUACUCUCUGCAGAUACAAUGUCAGCUUCAAACCCUUUGACCCGUAUUCUUGAGACCAACCGACUGACCGGAACCAAUUACAAGGACUGGCUUAGAA